rnacentral:rRNA from 1 species
UACGUAGGGUGCAAGCGUUGUCCGGAAUUAUUGGGCGUAAAGAGCUCGUAGGCGGUUUGUCGCGUCUGCUGUGAAAACCCGAGGCUCAACCUCGGGCCUGCAGUGGGUACGGGCAGACUAGAGUGCGGUAGGGGAGAUUGGAAUUCCUGGUGUAGCGGUGGAAUGCGCAGAUAUCAGGAGGAACACCACUGGCGAAGGCAGAUCUCUGGGCCGUAACUGACGCUGCGGAGCGAAAGCAUGGGGAGCGAACAGG